rnacentral:rRNA from 1 species
UGCAAGUCGAACGGUGAAGCGAGAGCUUGCUCUCGUGGAUCAGUGGCGAACGGGUGAGUAACACGUGAGUAACCUGCCCCAGACUCUGGGAUAAGCCUUGGAAACGAGGUCUAAUACCGGAUACGAGACGAGAUCGCAUGGUCAUCGUCUGGAAAGAAUUUCGGUCUGGGAUGGACUCGCGGCCUAUCAGCUUGUUGGUGAGGUAAUGGCUCACCAAGGCGACGACGGGUAGCCGGCCUGAGAGGGCGACCGGCCACACUGGAACUGAGACACGGUCCAGACUCCUACGGGAGGCAGCAGUGGGGAAUAUUGCACAAUGGGCGCAAGCCUGAUGCAGCGACGCCGCGUGGGGGAUGAAGGCCUUCGGGUUGUAAACCCCUUUCAGCAGGGAAGAAGCGAAAGUGACGGUACCUGCAGAAGAAGCGCCGGCUAACUACGUGCCAGCAGCCGCGGUAAUACGUAGGGCGCAAGCGUUGUCCGGAAUUAUUGGGCGUAAAGAGCUCGUAGGCGGUCUGUCGCGUCUGCUGUGAAAACCCGAGGCUCAACCUCGGGCCUGCAGUGGGUACGGGCAGACUAGAGUGUGGUAGGGGAGACUGGAAUUCCUGGUGUAGCGGUGGAAUGCGCAGAUAUCAGGAGGAACACCAAUGGCGAAGGCAGGUCUCUGGGCCACUACUGACGCUGAGGAGCGAAAGCAUGGGGAGCGAACAGGAUUAGAUACCCUGGUAGUCCAUGCCGU